CCCGCCUUCGAGGGCGAAGGGUGAGGCAAGAGAUGUGUCGCGUUUUUUAAAGAGGCCCGAGAAUAUACCGGUCAUGGAGGAGAAGGAGGGAUGAGAGAUGGAGAAAAAGGAAAAGAGUCAUGGAGCCCACUCCUCCCUCCCACUGGCCCCGUUCUGCUGGGCCCAGGUAGCUGCCAGCCCACAGGUCUUUGGACCCAUUCAGCCUGGACCAUGAAGCACAUUCAGCUCUAUGAGGCCACCUACUGCCCUGCAGAACAAUACUGCACCAGCACAGACGUGCCACAUUAGCAUUCUGGGCGUCAGCUAAUUCGUGGCCCACGACUUUCUUCCUCUUUGCUUUUUUUUUUUUAAAUCACGAGAAGACUAGGUCUGUGAAAAAACACAAGAGCGGCAUGUUGAAUCUGGAUAUUUCUUAAAGCCGAUUUGACAAAUAAUUGCAGCUGAAUUUUUUUUUUGAUAAAACACGAAACAUCCUGACAACAUCCUUUCCUUCGAGCAGUUCUCCAGCCUACAUGAUAACCGUGUAAAUCGUGUUUGCACCAUUCCUCCAAAUGCAUGUGUAAGACAGAAACCCAUCUGGGCACUGGGCAAAGACAAGGCUGAGAACCUCCCCCUAGAUGGAAGCGCACUUUAAAAAACAGACCUGUGGUCAGUGAUCCCUCUGCAUACCUGUCUCUUGAGGCCCGUCGACUUCUCCGGCGCGUUCUCCUCAAACUUGGCCAGCAGCUGGUUGGCCAUCACCUUGACCUUGUUGUCCCGGCCCCCCGCCGUGGCCGAGGGGUCCACCCUCCUGUCCGUCAGGGUGGUGGAGGGCGACGGCCUGUCGUCAGGCCCCGUCCUCACCUGAUCCUCCUGGGAGGGGGGGGGGGGGGGGGGGGGAGGAAAACCGUUGGGAAUCGGAAGGUGUCGGCUAGACUUACUUUAGCACGCUCACUGGAACGGAAUAACUAAGCCGUGUCCACUUACGUCUUCAGAAUUCCCCGCCUGGAUGGUUUUUCUCCUCUUCCCCAAACCGUCCGUUUCCUUCUCCUUUUUGUCCUGUGGUGGACAUGCGAGAGGAUAUUUUUAGUGAGUUGGUUACUUAAAUUGCAGCCACGGUGGUUAGUGGAUGACUCAGUGUUCCUAAACGGGGGCUGAUGCGAGGUCUCCUGACCUUGGGGUUGCGUUUCCUGGAGAUGGCGAUGCUCUGGCCAAGCUUGCUGAGGAAGGAGAUGGGCGACUUGGUGCUCGCGAUCAACGCCGUCUUGUCCUCUGGACUCAGGUUGGGGUUAUCUGGAAUAACGUACAGGAAUGGGCACGAGUACUUGAAUGAUGACGGAAAUACAGGAAUUUCAGUUCAAGAAGGACCUAACUCUAAAUAAAAAAAUAUAUAUACGUUCUACAAACUAAAAUGACUUCCAUGAAAACUAUUUUUUUGUUUAAUUAGUAUCUGAAUCAUAUUCUUUAUUCUAUAGAAGAGGUAGUCUUAUAAGUGACGUUUCUGUCCCACUCCUCGUCUUGCAACCCCAUGGUUAAUUAAUUCUAUUCUUUCAUUCUCUCAAUUGAAAAGCACAUACACUUAAUUAAAUAAAGACCCACAUGACAAAUACCAUUAAAGGGGCCAUGGCUAUGAAACCAAAUCGAGGCUGCUGCACCGACGCAAACUCACCUCCGGGUGGCACUGUGUCCUUAAACAUCUCGUAGAACUGGCUGAUGUACAUGACCAUGGAGAGCUUAUCGGGCUCUGCCACGGAGGUCAUCUCCUUGCCCGUCAUGCAGGGGGAGAUGCCAAACUCCCGCUCUGCCACGUCGAACGCCAACUGAUUGUUCCUCUCCUGGUUCCGCUCAUCUAACGAGUCGUAUUCCCUGAGGCCAAGGAAAGAAAAACAAGCAGAGGGAACAAGAGGAGAAAAACAUAUUUAAUCAGAGAAGGGGGCUAGUUUCUCUAGGCAAGAAUCUGAACAAGCGAACACAUCAUGUCAAACAAAUGACAUGUAUUCUUUUGAUUGUUCUAUGCUCAACUAAUAUUUUCGUGACAAUUAUAUUACUGAUGCUAUAAACAUACAUACAUAUAAACAGACGAUGUGCAUUGCAUUUGUAGCAGAGACGUGUAUUCAGAGCAGUUUGUUCAACAUGAAAUGUAUACUAUAAUUAUCUCACACACACACACACACACACACACACACACACACACACACACACACACACACACACACACACACACACACACACACACACACACACACACACACACACACACACACACACACACACACACACACACACC